rnacentral:rRNA from 1 species
CGGUGAGCGUCGGCCCGUCGGUGGACCGAGGAAGACCGUCGCGGAGCGGCGUCGACCGUUCGUCGUGUGUUGGCGUUCGACUCGGGGGGACUGGUUCCAGUGCCCUCGGACCGCGCCGGCGCAGCGGCGGGCGCGCACGGCGUCGCGCCUGGGGUCGGUGGCGAAACGGCCGGCAACCUGUCCGACCCGUCUUGAAACACGGACCAAGGAGUCUAACAUGUGCGCGAGUCGUUGGGCGCUACGAAACCCGAAGGCGCAAUGAAAGUGAAGGCCCGGUCUCCGGCCGGCCUGGGUGGGAUCCCGGCGGUCUCGGCCGUCGGGCGCACCACCGGCCCGUCUCGUUCGUUACGUCGAGGAGGCGGAGCAAGAGCGUACACGUUGGGACCCGAAAGAUGGUGAACUAUGCCCGAGUAGGACGAAGCCAGAGGAAACUCUGGUGGAGGUCCGCAGCGAUUCUGACGUGCAAAUCGAUCGUCAAACUUGGGUAUAGGGGCGAAAGACUAAUCGAACCAUCUAGUAGCUGGUUCCUGUCGAAGUUUCCCUCAGGAUAGCUGGCGCUCGUCGUGAGCAGUUUUAUCCGGUAAAGCGAAUGACUGGAGGCCUUGGG